UACGGGGGGGGCAAGCGUUGUUCGGAAUUACUGGGCGUAAAGGGCUCGUAGGCGGCCAACUAAGUCGGACGUGAAAUCCCUCAGCUUAACUGGGGAACUGCGUCCGAUACUGGAUGGCUUGGAUUCGGGAGAGGGAUGCGGAAUUCCAGGUGUAGCGGUGAAAUGCGUAGAUAUCUGGAGGAACACCGGUGGCGAAGGCGGCAUCCUGGACCGAUAUUGACGCUGAGGAGCGAAAGCCAGGGGAGCAAAGCGGG
rnacentral:rRNA from 1 species